GUCCACGCUGUAAACGAUGUAUACUCGCUGUUGGAUAGUAGACUAUUCAGUGGCCAACUUAACGAGUUAAGUAUACCGCCUGGGACUACGGCCGCAAGGCUAAAACUCAAAGGAAUUGACGGGGACCCGCACAAGUGGUGGAGCAUGUUGUUUAAUUCGAUGAUACGCGAGAAACCUUACCAGCCUUUGACAUCUUGGUUACGGCGACUGGAAACAGUUGCCAUCAGUUCGGCUGGGCCAAGACAGGUGUUGCAUGGCUGUCGU
rnacentral:rRNA from 1 species